UCAUCUUCGGGGGUAGAGCACUGUUUCGGCUAGGGGGUCAUCCCGACUUACCAACCCGAUGCAAACUACGAAUACCGAAGAAUGUUAUCACGGGAGACACACGGCGGGUGCUAACGUCCGUCGUGAAGAGGGAAACAACCCAGACCGCCAGCUAAGGUCCCAAAGUCAUGGUUAAGUGGGAAACGAUGUGGGAAGGCCCAGACAGCCAGGAUGUUGGCUUAGAAGCAGCCAUCAUUUAAAGAAAGCGUAAUAGCUCACUGGUCGAGUCGGCCUGCGCGGAAGAUGUAACGGGGCUAAACCAUGCACCGAAGCUGCGGCAGCGACACUAUGUGUUGUUGGGUAGGGGAGCGUUCUGUAAGCCGUUGAAGGUGGCCUGUGAGGGUUGCUGGAGGUAUCAGAAGUGCGAAUGCUGACAUAAGUAACGAUAAUGCGGGUGAAAAACCCGCACGCCGGAAGACCAAGGGUUCCUGUCCAACGUUAAUCGGGGCAGGGUGAGUCGACCCCUAAGGCGAGGCCGAAAGGCGUAGUCGAUGGGAAACAGGUUAAUAUUCCUGUACUUGGUGUUACUGCGAAGGGGGGACGGAGAAGGCUAUGUUGGCCGGGCGACGGUUGUCCCGGUUUAAGCAUGUAGGCGGAUGUUCCAGGUAAAUCCGGAACGUUACUAACGCUGAGGUGUGAUGACGAGGCACUACGGUGCUGAAGUGACAAAUGCCCUGCUUCCAGGAAAAGCCUCUAAGCAUCAGGUAACAUCAAAUCGUACCCCAAACCGACACAGGUGGUCAGGUAGAGAAUACCAAGGCGCUUGAGAGAACUCGGGUGAAGGAACUAGGCAAAAUGGUGCCGUAACUUCGGGAGAAGGCACGCUGAUGGUAAGUGAAGUGACUUGCUCAUGGAGCUGAAAUCAGUCGAAGAUACCAGCUGGCUGCAACUGUUUAUUAAAAACACAGCACUGUGCAAACACGAAAGUGGACGUAUACGGUGUGACGCCUGCCCGGUGCCGGAAGGUUAAUUGAUGGGG
rnacentral:rRNA from 1 species